rnacentral:lncRNA from 1 species
GAACCUGGAAUUCAAACGGCUGGGGCCUCACUCACGGCAUAUGGAACUAACCACGCCCCUAACUAAGAAGGCACACCUUAGUUGCAGUUAGCACACAAUUAAAGCAACUCUCCAAGUUUUACCUUAAAGUUCAAAAUUGCUAGGAGUUGAAACUACUAGAAAUAUAUUUACAUGCAAGAGUCAAAGAAACUUUGAACUAUUUAUGGCCUUUAAUAAUUAAGUAAGGUAUACUCCUGUGAUCAAGACUUGGAGCAUAUUUGUUUCUCUCUGCCUGGUUCCUCUAGAAAUUGGAAACUAUCAGAACAGAGACCAACUCCGUUUCCCGAUCCCUUUGCAAUCUGCAUUGAACCAUGAGUCAAGUUCUUGAUAAAGGAGUGAAAAUGGUAAGUCUAAAGCAAUGAAAAGCUGCUGUAUUGACUACACAUGCCUUCAUUUCUUCUACCCUGCUUCUUUCAUGCCUGCUUAUCUGAAUGACACCAGGAUGACAUUUAAGGCACAUCUGAAGAUGGGGAAACCACAGCACAGAAUAAGGCUGGGCCCUUGAAUCAAUAAAUGAAGGAGAACUACUCAAGAGAACAAAACCACCAGCAAUAUCCACCUGUAUUUGUCUUUUCAUAAUGUGUGACACAUGUGCUCAUGGAUUAUUGUCCGAAGCAAGACAUGUGACCAAGCCUAACAUCAACUGGGUGAAGAGCUAUAUGUUCCUUUCUCAAGAGGCACUACAAGUGACAUGCCACUGGGCAGGAAAACAAAAUCUGAAAUUGAUCUCCAUGUGCAAAACUAAGUCACACCAUCAUCUCUGUAGAAUAUUUAUGUGUGAAUCAACUAGAGGAAUGAACAUCACCUAAAGACAAAACAGGAUCUUUGUAUACAUCUUCUGGGAAGGAGUUGUUAUCAUUUCCACAAGGCCAAUUGCAUCAUUCGGAUAAAAACAUUAUAUUGUUGUCUUUAUUUGGAAGUAAAAUAUAUUUUAAAGA